AUUGGAAGGGGUGUAUUUAUUAGAUUAAAAACCAAUGCCCUUCGGGGCUCACUGGUGAUUCAUGAUAACUCCUCGAAUCGCAUGGCCUUGUGCCGGCGAUGGUUCAUUCAAAUUUCUUCCCUAUCAACUUUCGAUGUUUGGGUAUUGGCCAAACAUGGUUGCAACGGGUAACGGAGGGUUAGGGCUCGACCCCGGAGAAGGAGCCUGAGAAACGGCUACUACACCCAAGGAAGGCAGCAGGCGCGCAAAUUACCCAAUCCCGACACGGGGAGGUAGUGACAAUAAAUACUGAUACAGGGCUCUUUUGGGUCUUGUAAUUGGAAUGAGUACAAUUUAAAUCCCUUAACGAGGAACAAUUGGAGGGCAAGUCUGGUGCCAGCAGCCGCGGUAAUUCCAGCUCCAAUAGCGUAUAUUAAAGUUGUUGUGGUUAAAAAGCUCGUAGUUGAACCUUGGGCCUGGCUGGCCGGUCCGCCUCACCGCGUGUACGGGUCCGGCCGGGCCUUUCCCUCUGUGGAACCCCAUGCCCUUCACUGGGUGUGGCGGGGAACCAGGACUUUUAC
rnacentral:rRNA from 1 species